rnacentral:rRNA from 1 species
UACGGAGGAUGCGAGCGUUAUCCGGAUUUAUUGGGUUUAAAGGGUGCGUAGGCGGAGUACCAAGUCGGCGGUAAAAAUUCGGGGCUCAACCCCGUCGUGCCGUUGAAACUGGCGCCCUUGAGUGGGCGAGAAGUAUGCGGAAUGCGUGGUGUAGCGGUGAAAUGCAUAGAUAUCACGCAGAACCCCGAUUGCGAAGGCAGCAUACCGGCGCCCUACUGACGCUGAAGCACGAAAGCGUGGGUAUCAAACAGG